rnacentral:lncRNA from 1 species
UCUUUGCCAUUCAGUCAGUAUCUUUUUGGUAUAGUACUGUCCAAAUUGAAAGAUGGACUAGUUCAUUACAGAAAUUUAGCAGGGUAAAGGUUAGUUUACAUGCUUGAAUAAUAUGGGUUUCAGUUAUCUUCAUCUUAGGUGAACACAGGUUUAGACUACAAGAAAUUUCUGCUCUACCUUUCCAGUUAGUGUCCAGUUGACUUAUACUUGGCUUACCUAGUCUAACAUGGGGUUUCUAGGCAUGCUGUAAUCAAUUUGUUGAUGACUGCUUAAGUAAAACAGUGCUUAAAUACUAAAAAAAUGUUACUUGAAAUUUUUUGACACAGAAUUUUCAAAAGUCAUUUUUCUAUCCAUUUCAGAAUACAAGUAUUUACAGGAAUGAUAUAAUCUAAACCAUGUGGAUGUUAUUGAAGAGGACAGGACAAUGACACACAAAAGUUGAUGCUUUGGAAUAUUCCUGGUCCACCACAGUAAUCAGAUUCCCACUGGUAUGGGAAACACUUGUAGAACCAAAUGGCAUUAUUGCAGUGAGUAUGUGUGAUUUAUAGAUCCAGAAGGAGCCCUCAGACAUGUGAAAGUGGAGCACCUCACUACAUGAGUCAAGGUCACCUGGGAGCAACCUUUACCAAAUGGAGAUUUGCUGGGUUAUAAGUUGAUGCAUAGAUAGAGGGAGAACACCAACUAUAUGGGGUUGGAGAUUUCUGUAGUCACCACAGAGAAAUACUGUGAAAGCUUUCAAUGCAGUAGAGGAAGGUCCUGUUAGAACAUCACAUCAUUUAUUGUGUCUGUAAAUGAAGCAGCACCAUCUCCUGCUCGAGUGGAUGUCAAACCAGUCAACUUGAAUUCUGCAGAAAUAUUUGACUUAUAGUAGAACCACCACCAGAAGUACAGAAUGGUGACUUGUAUGGAUACAGGGGACUAGUGUAGAACUUAUCAAGAGAACACUGCAGAGUACAUUACAGCCAAGUAGGUUACGAAGUAUGAACAGUCCAUGAGCCUUGUAGAUCUUGUUAUGUACAGUUAAUAGGCUAUAGACUUGGCUGGAGAGCGACUAGAGUGAAGACUAUUACAACAAAACUCUGGAAGGAUAUAAACUACAGUUAAAAGAUUGUCAACAGCUGUCAGUGGCCAAGGGAAACCAAUAUCCACUGUAGACGAAAGACCAACAGGAGCAGACAUUAGUUGUCAAGGUUACAGAUUCAUCCAAUGUAUGGUGACAUUUACCCAAGAUUCAAGUCUGGAGAUAACAGUGGCAGAUCUUAGACUUUUUCCUAGAUUUAAGUUUAAAAUGAUUGUGUCUUAAGACUGCACGAAUAGUCUGAAAAAUAAUAGUAUAGUAGACAAGGUUUUAUUAUAAACAAAGAAACAUUAGGUUUUAUUGUUGACAGGUUUUUGGAAUUUACUGUUUCAUGUCUUUUGAUUGUAUUUUUUUGUCUCAUGACCCUCUUCUGCAUAAGAAGAUGGAACUAUUUUCUACACAAUUGAUGCAUUUUAAGGUACUGUAUUCAGAGCAGAUAAUUAGAUUUUUGUCAAGAAAUAGAUUAUGUUCAAACACUUAUUUGUGUUCACUAAACAUGAUCUUUAGAUUUAGAAUUUCUCUAGAGUUUUUUUUUUUAAUUUGAUUCUCUAAUCUUAGUUUCCUAACCAUGAUAGAGUUAUUUUACCAUAAGUAAUACCACAACUAAUCAUUUUCUAAGGGAAAGAUAUAAAUAUAAGACCUUAUAAAAGGUUUGCAUAAAGAGUUAUAUACUUUGAUGGAAUUCAUUAGAAAUGUAUGUUAAACAAUUAUUGCCUCCCUUUGCACAACCAAGAUAUAUUUGAAUUAAAUGAAUUUGGAAGUUAUGCACAGUUUUCAAACAUGCCUUUUGGUUCAGAUUGAUAUAAUAGCCAGAGAUCUAUAAAAUGCAAAUGUAAAACUAGAAAUUACUCUGAAAUAAAAAGAAAUACUGAACCUGUUAAAUACUUUCAUAUUAAAGGAGGGUAAAUACAAACUUCACAAAAUUCAAUAAAAAGUAAAUUUCUAAUAUGGAUCUAACUCUGUGCAAUGGGUUAUCUUGUACCUUAAAUAAAUCUCUUUAUUACAUGUUUUUCAGUGAGUUAGGGAAAUAUUAGAGUAUAUUGUAUCAGGUAUUUUCACAGUGAUUGAUAUUUUCCACUGGUAAGAAACUAUAAAAUGGGUAAAUUGAGUCAAAACAUGAAUAAAAAGAAAAUUUGUUUGUUUUACAUGUAAGAUCAAAAUAUCUUUCACUCGUGAACACCGUAUCUUGCAUUUUCAAUUGUGGUUAUGCCACCUGAAAACUUUGCAUCAUUCUGGUGUUCACACAUGAAAAAUAUAUAUAGAGGAUAUUUGUUUGUUUUUCGUGAAUAUGGAAUAUAUCUCACUGAGAAGUGAGAAAAUUUCAAAUAUUUUCACGAGCGCGUAGCGCGAGUGAAAAUGU